rnacentral:rRNA from 1 species
UACAGAGGGUGCUAGCGUUGUUCGGAAUCAUUGGGCGUAAAGGGCGUGUAGGCGGUUUGUUAAGUCAUGUGUGAAAUCCCUCGGCUCAACCGGGGAACGACGCAUGAAACUGGCAAGCUAGAGUACCAAAGAGGGGGGUGGAAUUCCCGGUGUAGCGGUGAAAUGCGUAGAUAUCGAGAGGAACACCUGCGGCGAAGGCGGGUUGCUGGGCUGACACUGACGCUGAUGCGCGAAAGCUAGGGGAGCGAACGGG